AACGUACCCUAUGCUCAGGGAUAGCGGCGGGCUUCGGCCCUUUGCGAAAGUGCCGGUAAUACCUGAUAACAUUCAUUGGUCGCAUGGCCGAUGGAUCAAAGAAUUUCGGCGUAGGAGCGGUCCAUGUCCUAUCAGCUUGUUGGUGGGGUAACGGCCUACCAAGGCGAUGACGGGUAGCUGGCGUGAGAGCGUGACCAGCCACAUCGGGACUGAGACACUGCCCGG
rnacentral:rRNA from 1 species